rnacentral:rRNA from 1 species
GCUCCAAUAGCGUAUAUUAAAGUUGUUGCAGUUAAAAAGCUCGUAGUUGAAUAUUGGGCUUGGCUGGGUGGUCUUGCCUAACGGUAAGUACUGCUCUGGCUGAGCCUUUCCUUCUAGUAAACUAUGGUGCUCUUUAUUGAGUGCUAUAGGGAACUAGGACUUUUUACUUUGAAAAAAUUAGAGUGUUUAAAGCAGGCCUU